AAACAGCGUGAGUGAUGCUGUAACAGAUUUAUGAAGGUGUGGGAACUGGGAGAAGGCAAUUCCAGAAGGACAAGAGAAGGCUUCAUAAAGAGGUGACGUCUCCCCUGGAUCUUAAAAGAGGAGGAGGAAUUUGCUGGAAGGAGAGAAGGAUGCUGAGAACGUGUGGAAGGACAGGGAAGGUGGAUGGGGCCCGUGGUGAUUGUGCCAUCCCUCUACGUCUAUUCAUCAUGCUAUGUUGAGUGUGACUUACAAGAUCCAACAUCAAUUCAAGAGGAUCGAUUCCUAUUCCAGAGAAGAUGUACGCCUAGAGCUUCAAGGGGUCACCAGGAGAAGAUAACCUGCCCCAGCAAGAAUCUAACAAAGAAAGCAAAGCCGAGAGACAGAGAGAAAGAAGGAGAGACAAAAUAAAGCUGGCUUCCUGAAACUGCUCAUGAACGGAAACCCUCAAUGUGACAAAAAUGAUAAGAACCGUGAACAAAAGCAGCAAAAGUUAUUAUAAGGCAGCUUGGGUCACUGAAGAAAUGGGCUAGGAAGAUGGCAGGAUUUAAAUCUUGGAAUAUUCUAACUAGGAGAGCAAUAUCACACUGCUGAUGCACAGAGUGUCAGAUACAGGGGCGAUUUCAACAGCCAGAUCUCACCCACCUGAGGGUUUCCCAUGUCCCAUUAAACAACUGCCUGAGGACUCAUUCUGUUCAAUGUCUUAAAUGGAACUGAGAUUCAAGACAGAUGCAUCACAUACUUUUUACCAAACUCAAUCUUAACUAGCUUGAUUUAGCCAUUCCACAAUGUAUACACAUUUCAAAACAACAUGUUGUACACAAUAAACAUAUACAUGUUUUAUUUGUCGAUUAUAAAAAAUAAGAAAUGUUAUUUUUUAAAACAGAAUCAGAUUUGGUGGUGAGAAAGGAUAAGUUAUUACACAAACUCACAAUGGCUGAAAUAGGCAGAGAGUCUUACGAGAACUCCAUGUUAGGGAUAAGGAAUGAGGUUCAGGGAAGACUUCCCACAAAAAGAAGAGCUGGGCUGGAUCUUAAAGGGUGGAAAGGAGCCCAGCAGUGGACAAGGAAUAAAAAGGCAUUCCAGAUGGGGGAAAGCUUGCCAUUCCCAACAUCACACCCGGCAGAUGUGAUGAUCAGUUAUUUAGGAAACACAAGCAGAAUAUGUGUAUUCAAGUAAGAAUUAAGACCUUUGGAGUAGUCAACUUGGGAAAUUAUAUUCCAAGGACAUUUUCUCUGUUCAACUUCUUUCUUAAUUUAAGGGACAGCGUCUCACUAUGUUGCCCAGGCUGGAGUGCAUUCACAGGCACAGUCAUCAUGCUCUACAGCCUCAAAUUCCUGGACUCAAGCGAUCCGCCUGACAUACUGUCCCGAGUAGCAGGGGCUAAGGUAUGCACCAACACACCUAGCUCUUUUCCCUGCUCAAUUUCUGAGCUCUUUCCAUUUUUUAGUAAAGCCUCAGUGUUUUCUGAAGAUGAUUUUUAAAAAAACACAGGGACUUUUAUGGGCAAGCCUGAUGAUGAUCCAGCUUGGGAAUAUUGGUUUAGGCGAAAAAAAAAGUAGGUGAGAUAAAAAAAAAAAGUCACAUAUUUUCUUGAGUAACUGAUAAGCUGGGCCCCAAAUCCACUCCAAAAGGGAAAAAAUGUUAAAAAAUAAUAAGGCCCUUGAAAUAGGGUAAUUACUUGGUGAUAUCACAGGUUAAGAUCUGCUCAGAAGGGACUCCUGAGCUGAAUCCUGAAGGGUCAACAGGAAUUUCAGAGGCAGAUGAUGGUAUACAUUCUGAUAUGUUUGGCUGGGCAUGGUGGUUCACACCUGUAAUACAGCACUUUGGGAGGCCGAGGAAGGCAGAUCACUUGAGGCCAGGAAUUCUCUACUAGAAUUACAAAAAUUAGCUGGGUGUCAUGGCAUAUGCCUAUAAUCCCACCUACUCAGGGGGCUGAGGCAGGAGAACUGCUUGA